UGACAGUCUCUCUUCCGGUGGUUAAUUUAGAGCUAAAACUGCUCCUUGGAGUAGUGCCUCUUGCUCCUGCACUGCCCGGAGGCCAGGUCUCAGCUCUGCUGUGGAGGGAGCA